AUUAACUAGGUGUUUUAUUUGCAUAGUAGCUUUUCGUGCUAAAGGAGGUUACCAAGUUAACCAGUUAACA
rnacentral:tRNA from 1 species